rnacentral:tRNA from 1 species
GGCCGGUUAGCUCAGUCAGUAGAGGUUAGCGCUAACAACGCUAAGGUCGUGGGUUCGAUUCCCGCUUGGUCCC